UUUGCUUAAGUUUUACUUUGUUCCUCUUCUGAGUGAAUAACAUUAUCAUUGACGUCAUAUCUGUAGUCGGUCUGAGCGGGCAGUGUCGGGUCAACGUUUGGAUCUGCAGUUGGUCAGUAUGUGUGGAAGUGUAUCCAGACUUGCUCUGCUUCUGGUGCUAUGGGGUCUAUGCACAGCUGUUGACGGAGAACACAGCUACAAGUGUCUGGAACCGUCAACGAGGUGCCACAACACUACUUGUUGUUGCUUGUUAGUCAGAUGAAGUGACUCGAGAGAAAACAUUGGAGAUCGGAGGAGCAGAUGCCACUCUUCUCUGCCCAAACCAAACAAUCACUAACAUCCUUAUUGUAGUAUGUCAGAAAAAUAGAGUUAUAAGUGGGGGUCAUGACUGUAGAGUUUCACAAGACUUUGAGAAAGAUCAUACCAACAGCACUUGUGACCCCAGAGUCACACUACAGACAGAGAAUGACAGAGUGUUUCUACACAUCACCAACAUUCAACCAUCUGAUGAAGGGAACUACACCUGUUAUUGUACAUAUCAUGAAGGCAAUGCUGAAAUAAACAUACAUAUUUCUGUCAAUGGAACCCAAGUGCAAGAGGCCACAGACAACAGUCUCUUCUAUUUUGGGAUGAUAACAGGUGUUGCAGCAUGUGUAGCUGUCCUGGUGUUUGGUGGCAUAAUCAUGAGGAAAAUUCAUCUCAGGAGAACACAGCUACAAGUGUCUGGAACCGUCAACGAGGAGGAGCAACAGGACAUUCCCAGCACGUUCACAGGGAGAGACAAUGGGCUUUACUCAACUCUCCAGCUGCCUCAUCCUAACCUCUGUCCCUCAGGCACCGUUGACCAAUGACCACAUGACAUUAGACACCUUCUAGUAACAUCUAGCUAUACAGCUCUACGGUAGAGUGGUAGAUAUACAUUUACUGUGAAUAUUUUGAUUACUGAUAAUGCAAAAACAAAUCCCUAUCUGACUUGCCAUAUAUCAGCCUCUCCUUUACUGUAGAUCUUCUGUGGUUGUUGUAAAUAUCAACACAUACUGUAUGCAGGCUGCACAUCUGUAAUGGAAAUACAAUUGUUAUAUACAUGUCUCAAAAUUAUAGCUGUUCUGUUGUUGUUUGCGGAUAGAACAAAGCUGUUUCUGUGGAGAUCACCUGAUCCCAAAAUCAUAAACUUUUCCACCAGGUGUCAGUAUACUGUUGUAAAAGACUUAACAUUUUCCUGUCAUAAACAUUAAUGGAGAAAUCAGUAAAAGUCCCAACUGCCACUGUAUUCAAACUGUAACUUUAGAAAACAGAAUAUUAAUGUAGACCUGUUUUAUAGUUUUCUGUUUACUAUAUAGGCCUGGCUACAUGAAUUAGGCUACAUGUUUAAGUGGAUAUGUUAAUAAAAAAAAAAAAAUAGAACUGUUUUUCCAACAAACAAAAAAAGUGAGAAAAAAAACAUGUACGCAUGCUUUAGCCUAUGUACUUCUGUGGAUGCAAGGCCAGUCUAUUAAAAGCAUGAGAUAACUGUUUCAUGGUGGCAGCUCCUUUGUUUCCUUCCUGCACAUCACAGUUA